CCAGUCUGCAUUCGGGGGACAGGGGCGGUGCUGCUUACCUCCGGUGCUGAAGGGAGGAGAGGCAGCUGCUCCGUGGCUGUGGCAAGAAUAUGGUACGCAGGUUCUUGGUGACGGUCAGGAUUCGGCCAACUUGCGGCCCACCGCUAGUGAGGGCUUUCGUGGUGCAUAUCCCGCGGCUCGCGAGGGAGUGGGAAGUGUCGCGUGAGCAGGCCGUGGCGGCCCUCGUGCUGAUGCUAGUGAGGAGUCAACGCAGAGGGCAACAAUCGCAUCCUAGAAGACCAGGUAGGAAAGCCCCUCAAAAAAUCCUGGGUGUAAAGACACUUGGAUGAAUUUUGUUUGGUAUGAUUUAGUACACAGAUAAGUCAUCUGCACGAGGCGAGGAAGAGGAGGAGGAGGAGGAGGCUAUGGGGUCAGGAACUGGACGCCUUUCCC
rnacentral:lncRNA from 1 species